rnacentral:misc_RNA from 1 species
CGGUUUAACACCGGCAGUCUCAUUAGAGUCCGCAGCAUAACCUGUUCGCAACUAAUGAUAGGGGUUUCGCUCGUUAAGGGACUUAACCCGACACUUCACAGCACGAGCUGACGACAGCCAUGCAGCACCUGUGUAUGUUCCACUACAAGAGUGUCAUUACCGUUUCUGGUAACUAAUCCAUACAUGUCAAACCCAGGAUAAGGUUCUUCGCGUUGCUUCGAAUUGAGCCACAUGCUCCACCGCUUGUGUGAGCCCCCGUCAAUUCCUUUGAGUUUUAGCCUUGCGACCGUACUCCCCAGGCGGUGCACUCAACGUUUUUACUUCGACCGAGAAUGGUGUCAGAACCUCCUCGAUCUAGUGCACAUCGUUUACGGCGUGGACUA